AGCUUUGCGCAUCGGAGAUAUCGUAGUCAAUGAGGUACAACCGAGGUGCAAUUAUUGCUAGUUGAAAUUUGUAAGUUGCAUUGCUACUUGCAGUUGGUCGAUUGCAUUUCGUCAAUUGUCUACGCAAACAACACGAUGAAUGUUUUUUUGAUAUGAUAAAUCGGAUUUACUACGGAAUUUUUAACAUAAUUUCGCAUGU
rfam:Anopheles sinensis unplaced genomic scaffold AS2_scf7180000687969, whole genome shotgun sequence.